UACAGAGGUGGCAAGCGUUGUUCGGAAUUACUGGGCGUAAAGGGCGCGUAGGCGGCUCAUCAAGUCGGGCGUGAAAUCUCCGGGCUCAACCUGGAGAUGCCACUCGAGACUGCUAUGGCUAGAGUCCGGUAGGGGACCACGGAAUUCCUGGUGUAGCGGUGAAAUGCGCAGAUAUCAGGAGGAACACCGGUGGCGAAGGCGGUGGUCUGGGCCGGCACUGACGCUGAGGAGCGAAAGCGUGGGGAGCAAACAGG
rnacentral:rRNA from 1 species